CGCUCGAAAGCCACCUUUCAGCUAUUCGAACUGCAGUAUUUUUUUAGGUGACAAAGUUUCAAACCUUCUUGACAGUUCUUAAUGAAACACGACAAAUUCACAGCCCCGCUAUAGUCAACUGGUACAAGAGUUAUAAAUUCAAUAAUUUAUUUGUUUUUCGACGAAAUUGAUUGUGGCCACAUGCACGAUUAUAGUGUUUUUCAAAACGUAAGUUGUUAACGAGUAUUAUAAAGUGUCGUUAACGAUAAAUUCGAUGGGCUAUUUCGCACGGUAUUUGUGCACAUGCAUACUUGAGUUUGACUAAGAAGAUUGCGUGAGUUCGACGCAUCCAGUGUUCCCUGGGAGGCUCUCGUGCGCGGAGCUUUCACGUAUAAGCCAUCGUUGAUGUUAAUGAGACGAGGAACGAGAAUUGAAGAGAGGAAAUGCGGAAAAGGGAAGGAAGGAGCGGGAGGAAGGCUCUCGUGAGUUCAUCGCGUAUAAUUGUUAAACAAUUAAAUACACCGGUAUAAAGUGAUCUGCAACCACCUGUCAUUUCCGAAUGAGCAUAUGGGAUUUUACUGGUUAUUAAGGAUCAUACAUUUUCCAAUAUGGCUAUGUUUAUCCAGAAUUUUGGAAUGACCAAUUAUUAAAAUUCCAAUCGAGCCCAGUAAAAAAUUGGCAACUGAGAUUUUAUGUUUGAAGUACAUUUCAAGCCACAUUAACCAAUCUAUUUAUAAAAUAAGCUUUCAUAUUUGUAUGUAAGUGCGUAUGAGAAUCAAAUGAAAUGAAUGUUUGCAAAUCAUGCUGAUUUCAAUGCCAAUGGAUCGUCACUUGUGACAAGUAGUGUUGUAUGGAUAUAUUUUUAAAAUAUUCGGUAGGCAUCGCCACAUUAUCGUCUGAAAAAUGAAUUCCAUGCCGAAAAAAUAAUAAAAAUAAUUUUAUUAAGAACAUCA